UCAGUUGGAAGCUAAGGUAUAUUUUUUUGGGUUUCUAGAUUCAAAGUUAAGGUUUCAUAUAUAUAUAUAUACAUAUAUACCCCUAUAAUGUGUUCUAAUUAAUAAGUAUGAAAUUUAGGUUUUUCAUAAAACAAUUAUUGGUUCUCUGGGAUCACUCUCGCAAUCAAGCUAGGUUCUCCACAUUCGAGACCAAAGUAAUUAAAAGUCUAGAAUGCCGGUGGCGCGUGGAACUUUGGAUGCUUGUGUGUGUGAACUCGCUGAGGGCCAUAUAACUGCGGGCGGUCUAGGGCGCUCUAUUUAUUUAUUUACGUUAUUAAACUUAUGUCGCAAUUAUUUUAGUUAUUAAUUAUUAUGUCUUUUGUACGAAAACUGGCCAGUUGUGAACAUUUUCAAAUAUUAAAUAAAAAUGCGACAAUAUGAUUUUCCGCG